UGAACGCUCGUAUAUAUAUAGGCUCAAAAUGAUAAUAUUUACCCCUACUACCAUCACACUCAAUUCUUUGAUUCUCGUUAUCGAUUAACAACAACAACAACAACAACAAAAACAAGCCAACAAAACAAUUGUAAUAUAAACAUAUGAAACACGUUUGCCAGUAUAUACGUUUUUUAUUAUCAUUUCAAUAACGCGCCAAAUUUUUUCACAAACGUUCAUGCUACUACUAUUUUGAAUUAUUGGUUAUGAUUCAUAAAAAUAAUUACAAAUUUAGUUUAAAGUAGAUAGUAGCAUUAUAAUGAAUUAGUAUAUUAAAGUUCAACCACACCAUCAUCAUGGCCACUACUAUUAUUAUACAUCAUCGUUUUUAUAUAUAGUAUGAUGUAUGCUAUUUACAGAAGAAUAUUUUUUUGUAUCCAACCACAAAUACAUAAAGUUCAUUGAUUGAUAUACCACUACUUUCUACAUUGUGCAGUGUCUGCAGUGUUUGUGUAUGUGUAGUAUCUUGACAUUUUCUAAUGCCGAUCAUCAUCAUCAUCAUCAUCAUCCAAUUGGUUAGUAUCUUUUCAUUGAUUUGGUUUGUUCAUUGUUGUCGUUGUCGUCUUCGUAGUCGUCGUCAUCGCGCGCGCGGAGUCUUCGAUCAUCACCGCCACCGCCACCACCGUCAUCAUCAUCAUCAUCAUAUUUUGGCCAUGUCAAUGUAUGGUAUAUGACGGCCAAUGUUUUUUUCUUUUGCAUUUUCUCUUGCUCAUCUCUUUUUCGAAAAAUCGGGCUUAGUAUUCUCAUCAUCGUCAUCAUCACCAUCGUUAUUAUUUAUUAUUGUAUUUUGUUGCUAUGAAUUGAUUGAUGUUUACUUACAUUUUAAGUGAAUGGAAUUUCUGUUUAUUUCCUUUGAAUACAAGAAAAAAAAACAUCUCGAUUCUUUCUUUUUGAACAUUCUACAUUCUAAACCUUUGGUGUCUUAUACACAACAGCGCACUGAAAAAAAGAUCCUAUUCGGUAUUCAAACAGUUGGAUUUUGAUUUUUUGAAAUUUUCAUUCAUCUUGUGACCAACAAAAAAAAACUGUGUGCAUGUGCGUAUGUGUUUACUUCAAAUCUUGUGAUGAUGACGACCAACACCAUAUAGACCAAAUGAUGAUUAUCAAGCGAAAUUUUUAAAAGAAAAAAUGGAAUGAAAAUAAAAACAACCAACCAAAUGUGAAAAGAAAAUUGAAGAAAGUAAAAAAAAAAAAAAAAGAUCAAAAGUCCAAUAUAUCAAAACGAACGACGUCAUUCGACGACAAACAAUCAAUGAAUCGAACAUUUUCAUUAUUAGAUACACAUCACUAUUUGAUUUGAUUGAUGAAUAAAUGAAAUAGAGAGAGAUAGAGAGAGAAAAAAAAAUGACAUGAUGUAAUCGAUGCUAUUACAUGUGAAAUUUUUAUGAAUGACGUAGACUCAUUCUUUCUCUCUUGUCACUUGUAUCUGCUACUUGUGUUUGUGUCCAUCGUUUAUACUAAAUUCUAUUUUUGUUUUAAAAAUUGUGACCAUAAUCCACCUUCAUUGAUGAAGAAAAUAAACAUCAUCAUCAUCAUCAUUAUCAAAAUUGAUACAAUUAAACAAUAACCGGAA